rnacentral:rRNA from 2 species
UGGCAGUCAGAGGCGAUGAAGGACGUGCUAAUCUGCGAUAAGCGCCGGUAAGGUGAUAUGAACCGUUAUAACCGGCGAUUUCCGAAUGGGGAAACCCAGUGUGAUUCGUCACACUAUCAUUAACUGAAUCCAUAGGUUAAUGAGGCGAACCGGGGGAACUGAAACAUCUAAGUACCCCGAGGAAAAGAAAUCAACCGAGAUUCCCCCAGUAGCGGCGAGCGAACGGGGAGGAGCCCAGAGCCUGAAUCAGCAUGUGUGUUAGUGGAAGCGUCUGGAAAGGCGCGCGAUACAGGGUGACAGCCCCGUACACAAAAGCGCAUGUGCUGUGAGCUCGAUGAGUAGGGCCGGGACACGUGGUAUCCUGUCUGAAUAUGGGGGGACCAUCCUCCAAGGCUAAAUAC